ACGGGCCCCGGCACAAGCGAGCGGAGCGUGUGGUUUAAUUCGAUGCUACACGAAGAACCUUACCAGGGUUUGACAUGCAAGUGGUAGGAAACCGAAAGGCGACCGACCCUUCGGGAGCUUGCACAGGUGCUGCAUGGCUGUCGUCAGCUCGUGUCGUGAGAUGUUCGGUUAAGUCCGCUAACGAGCGCAACCCUCGCUGUGUGUUACAAGUGUCACACGGUACUGCCGGUCUUAAGCCGGAGGAAGGUGGGGAUGACGUCAAGUCAGCAUGGCCUUUAUGUCCUGGGCUACACACACGCUACAAUGGCCAACACAAUAGGUUGCUAAGCCGCGAGGUGGAGCCAAUCCUCAAAGUUGGUCUCAGUUCAGAUUGCAGGCUGCAACCCGCCUGCAUGAAGAUGGAGUUGCUAGUAACCGCAGGUCAGCUAUACUGCGGUGAAUACGUUCCCGGGGCUU
rnacentral:rRNA from 1 species